GAUGAACGCUGGCGGCGUGCCUAAUACAUGCAAGUCGAGCGAACAGACGAGGAGCUUGCUCCUCUGACGUUAGCGGCGGACGGGUGAGUAACACGUGGAUAACCUACCUAUAAGACUGGGAUAACUUCGGGAAACCGGAGCUAAUACCGGAUAAUAUAUUGAACCGCAUGGUUCAAUAGUGAAAGACGGUUUUGCUGUCACUUAUAGAUGGUUCCGCGCCGCAUUAGCUAGUUGGUAAGGUAACGGCUUACCAAGGCAACGAUGCGUAGCCGACCUGAGAGGGGGAGUGGACACAAUGGAAAGGAGACACGGUCCAGACGCCUACGGGGGGCAGCAGGAGGGAAUCUUCCGCAAUGGGCGAAAGCCUGACGGAGGAAAGCCGCGGGAGUGAAGAAAGUCUUCGGAUCGGAAAACUUUGUUAUUAGGGAAGAACAAAUGUGUAAGUAACUAUGCACGUCUUGACGGUACCUAAUCAGAAAGCCACGGCUAACUACGUG
rnacentral:rRNA from 1 species